AAAACCGAACGUGUCGGCGCCGACACAAUUUACCAUGCGGUAUUAAUGUUUUCAUAACUCAGCAACCGUUUGCACUAUGAAAAAAAAUCAAAUUGCGUCUGAUAGAAGACAUCUUGCGCUUUAAGACAAUAUACAGCUUAAUACGGUAACUGCAUGCUUUCCAGCAGCAAAUCACAGCAGCUUUCGGGGAGAGGGGGAAGGGCGGAGUUGAAGCGGGAGAUACAGAGCCCAGCAGGUUUGAAAGUUUGAGAGUGUGAAAUAUAAACAAAAACGAACAAAAAACAUGGCGAAAAAAGGUUUUACAUGAGAGGAGGCGAUUGAUUUGAUCUCUGAUGACACCUGGGAAGAGGCUGAACAUGAUUCAUCGGACCCGGAGUCUGUAUUCAGAUGUUGAGGCGUAUGCUGCUGGCUUUGAUCCAGUCGUGGAUUGUGUGGCUUCUCCAGUUAUCUACGAAGAAGCAAAUGGGCCAUCUACAUCGAACACAACACCAUCUCAGAGGGGCCGGGGCCGUGGUCGCAGCUGUAGCUGUAUAAUAAGUACAUGGGGGGACUUGACACCUCCAACAAGAUGCUCAGAACAAAGUCGGUGCCCCAUAAAACAAGUCAUAUGUGACCAUUUUCCAGCAUUUCCUAGAUAUUGCAGUGACCAACAGCUUCAUUUUACACAAAGAGCUGUGUGCCAUCCACCAUGAUAAGCUCAUGACACGGCAAAACUUUCAGGAGCUGCUAGCUGCUCUGCUCACAGAUGUUCCCCUGGAUGGCCGGCUGAGAGAGAGAUGCGAUCAUCUGCCUGUUCCUGUGAGUGAUACUCAAGACCUUUCACAAAGUUGCAUACGAUGCAAAAGGAGCACCCCAUGGACAUGCCAGGAAUGUGAUGUGGGACUAUGCUUGCAGUCCUGUAGACAGGAACUGCUUCAGAGAGCCCCACAUUUAAAUGACUGGAUUGAAGGAUCCAAAAACGCCUGGAGAACUGGAGUACCACAAAUGGCUCCUGAGUGAAAACCGUGCAAUCCAGUGUCUCAAAAAUACUUGUAUAUAUGUAUUAUAGUUCCUUUUUCAAGAUUGAGGCAUUAGAUUCUUUCGAUCAUGAGUUUUCAGAUUUUUUCUAAAUAAAAACCAGUACAAUUUC